UAGUGGUCAAGACACACAGGACAGGUGAGCUGUUCCUCCAGUUUGAGUCUGAGAUCAGAAGAUGAUUUGGUUGCCAUUUCAAGAAAAGAAUAAAAUUGGAUACGUAAAGCAAGAACAAAAAUGAAGAGAGAUGAAGUGUAGAUAUUGCACCAAAUGAAGAUAGAGCAAGAAUGAAGGAUAAGGAAAUAAAGAAGUUGGAAUGAACAAGAAUGCAAAAUAAAGUAGAACAAUAAAAGACAGAGCAACAGGAAGACAGCUCUGAUGACCUCUUGGAAUAGAGCUGUCUUGUGAUUGAAGGAAGUUAUGAUAGCACAUUCCUUUAUUAUAACAACCAGUAUAUAGUAAAUGAAUGAAAAUGUAAAGCAAAAUAGCAACUGAAAUUCCUGUAUGGUGCAGUUUGCAAGCUAAUUGCAAAAGAUAUUUUUAUCUGCAAA